rnacentral:misc_RNA from 1 species
AACCAUAGAAACCUGCGGAGUACCUGCGGAGGGAUCAUUAUAGAGUGGUAAACCUCCCGUAAAAAGGGAGGGACCUCCCGUCCUUUGUAGGCUCCUUUUUAAGGGGCUUUUUUGACUUUCUGCUUCGGUGGGGUUAUCCUACCGGAACACCCUCAAAACUCUGAUCAAAAAAUUGUUCUGUCCGAGGGCUUUUUUAUACUAAAAAAAAAACUUUCAACAAUGGAUCUCAGAUCGGAAGAG